rnacentral:rRNA from 1 species
UUAGAUCGUACCCAAGUUACUUGGAUAACUGUGGUAAUUCUAGAGCUAAUACAUGCCGACAGAGUUCCGACCGUCGCGGCGCUCUCGGGCGUCGCGUGCGGGAGGAACGCUUUUAUUAGAUCAAAACCGGCCCGUCGCGGCGCGCCUCGCGCGCGUCCCGAUCGCGGCCCGCGCAAAGACCUGGUGACUCUGAAUAACUUCGAGCUGAUCGCACGGUCUCCGUACCGGCGACGCAUCUUUCAAAUGUCUGCCUUAUCAACUGUCGACGGUAGGUUCCAUGCCUACCGUGGUGGUAACGGGUAACGGGGAAUCAGGGUUCGAUUCCGGAGAGGGAGCCUGAGAAACGGCUACCACAUCCAAGGAAGGCAGCAGGCGCGCAAAUUACCCACUCCCGGAACGGGGAGGUAGUGACGAAAAAUAACGAUACGGGACUCAUCCGAGGCCCCGUAAUCGGAAUGAGGACACUUUAAAACCUUUAAACGAGGAUCAAUUGGAGGGCAAGUCUGGUGCCAGCAGCCGCGGUAAUUCCAGCUCCU